GACGAACGUUGGCGGCGUGCCUAAUACAUGCAAGUCAACUGAAAUACCGGUAGCAAUACUGGUAUGGAGGUGGCGCACGGGUGAGUAACACGUAGGUAAUCUGCCUUCAGGUCUGACAUAACCCAUCGAAAGGUGAGCUAAUAUCAGAUGAUGCAGCGGCUUGACAUCAAGACAGUUGUUAAAGCUUCGGCGCCUGAAGAUGAGCCUGCGUCUGAUUAGCUAGUUGGCGGGGUAACGGCCACCAAGGCUGCGAUCAGUAGCUGGUCUGAGAGGAUGAUCAGUCACACUGGAACUGAGACACGGUCCAGACUCCUACGGGAGGCAGCAGUAAAGGAAUAUUG
rnacentral:rRNA from 1 species